AGCCAUCUGACGAGUUCUAAAUAAAACGAAACGUGCGUCCUGGUU
rfam:Schistosoma mattheei strain Denwood, Zambia genome assembly, scaffold: SMTD_scaffold0009268